rnacentral:rRNA from 1 species
AGAGUUUGAUCAUGGCCUCANCAUUGAACGCUGCGCGGCAUGCUUAACACAUGACAAGUCGAACGGCAGCACAGGAGAGCUUGCUCUCUGGAUGGCGAGUGGCGGACGGGUGAGGAAUACAUCGGAAUCUACCUUUUCGUGGGGGAUAACGUAUGGAAACGUACGCUAAUACCGCAUGCGCCCUUUGGGGGAAAGCCGGGGACCUUCGGGCCUGGCGCGAUUGGAUGAGCCCAUGUCGGGUUAGCUAGUUGGGGGGGUAAAGGCCCACCAAGGCGACGAUCCGUAGCUGGUCUGAGAGGAUGAUCAGCCACACUGGGACUGAGACACGGCCCAGACUCCUACGGGAGGCAGCAGUGGGGAAUAUUGGACAAUGGGCGCAAGCCUGAUCCAGCCAUGCCGCGUGUGUGAAGAAGGCCUUCGGGUUGUAAAGCACUUUUGUUCGGGAAGAAAUCGUGCGGAUUAAUACUUCGUACGGAUGACGGUACCCAAAGAAUAAGCACCGGCUAACUUCGUGCCAGCAGCCGCGGUAAUACGAAGGGUGCAAGCGUUACUCGGAAUUACUGGGCGUAAAGCGUGCGUAGGCGGUUUGUUAAGUCUGCUGUGAAAGCCCUGGGCUCAACCUGGGAACUGCAGUGGAUACUGGCGAGCUAGAGUGUGUCAGAGGAUGGUGGAAUUCCCGGUGUAGCGGUGAAAUGCGUAGAGAUCGGGAGGAACACCAGUGGCGAAGGCGGCCAUCUGGGUACAACACUGACGCUGAGGCACGAAAGCCGUGGGGGAGCAAACAGGAUUAGAUACCCUGGUAGUCCACGCCCUAAACGAUGCGAACUGGACGUUGGGCACACUUAGGUGCUCAGUGUCGAAGCUAACGCGUUAAGUUCGCCGCCUGGGGAGUACGGUCGCAAGACUGAAACUCAAAGGAAUUGACGGGGGCCCGCACAAGCGGUGGAGUAUGUGGUUUAAUUCGAUGCAACGCGAAGAACCUUACCUGGCCUUGACAUGUCCGGAAUCCUGCAGAGAUGCGGGAGUGCCUUCGGGAAUCGGAACACAGGUGCUGCAUGGCUGUCGUCAGCUCGUGUCGUGAGAUGUUGGGUUAAGUCCCGCAACGAGCGCAACCCUUGUCAUUAGUUGCUACGCAAGAGCACUCUAAUGAGACCGCCGGUGACAAACCGAAGGAAGGUGGGGAUGACGUCAAGUCCUCAUGGCCCUUAUGGGUAGGGCUACACACGUCAUACAAUGGGCGGUACAGAGGGUUGCCAACCCGUGAGGGGGAGCCAAUCCCUUAAAACCGCUCGUAGUCCGGAUUGUAGUCUGCAACUCGACUGCAUGAAGUCGGAAUCGCUAGUAAUCGCGGAUCAGCUUGCCGCGGUGAAUACGUUCCCGGGUCUUGUACACACCGCCCGUCACACCAUGGAAGUGGGGUUUACCAGAAGUAGUUAGCUUAACCGCAAGGGGGGCGAUUACCACGGUAGGCUUCAUGACUGGGGUGAAGUCGUAAACAAGGNACC